CUGAAGAAGACGACGAAGAGAAACACAUGGACGCACAGAAACGGCUUCUGACUCACUGCAGGAGUUUUCCUGAGAGUUUGAACCAAAGAAGCUUCAAAUCUCUCUCAACACAAAUAUCGGUGAUGUAAAGUCUGCUUCGGUUUGUGGAUCCACAGAUGUGACGGAUGACAGCACCGAGCUCAAAGAAGUUGUUGGAUGUUCACGCCCUUCCUGGAGCUGAAGAGGUCUCAGUGAAUAUCUCAAUAUACAAAUCAGAAUUCUGAUCUUCUCUAUGAACGAUGCCUACAUGAAUUCAGAAGAAGCAUUCUGGUGCAGCUCAGGAGCUUCUGUGUCGACAUCCAGUAACCUGUUAAACUGUAUUCAUGGAUUUUACACAUUUAUGUAAAUCUUUAUUGACUUCAGCUUAUACACAAAGAAGUGUUUUAGUUUAGCCUAGCGUUACUUUGACUUUUAAUAUCAAGAAAUAAACUAAGUACACGUUUAACCAGCUGAUAUAUUUCAGUGAGCCGUUAAUCACGGGACUCGUGAGGAUUUGAAUCAUUUGUAUCUGUUACAGGAAACAUGUGAAGAUUUGGGAUCUUAAUAUUAAAGUGACAUUAUACAUUUGUAAAGAAACUUUACGAUACCGUAAAGCAGGGAUGUCCAAAGUCCGGCCCGGGGGCCAGUCACGGUCCGCAGUCAGAUUUCAUGCUUCAUUUUUAUAAUAUCUAAUUUAUGGCCUGCUGGGUUGUCAGACACUGUAUGACUGAAGGCUUUUAUUGUUGACAUGACUGCCUGUAGAUGUGACACUAAAUGUGACUUUAUGAAUGAUCUUGUUGCAGAGAAGAGACCAUAAUAAUCAUAAUAAUCAUGUUUAAAAUGAACAUUCAGGUUUGUAUCAGCUUCAUUCAGUUUAACGUGUUCGUACAGUUUGUGACAGAAACAAGAUCUGCUGUUAGAUUUGUUCACGUCUGGUAAUUUUUCCAUU